rnacentral:tRNA from 1 species
GCCGCAGUAGCUCAGGGUGGAGCAUUCGAUUCGUAAUCGAGCGGUCGUGAGUUCAAAUCUCAACUGUGGCU